GCUGGGCUUGGUGAUGCAUGCCUGUAAUCCCAGCAGUUUGGGAGGCUGAGGCAGGAAGAUUUUAAGUUUAAAGCCAGCCUCAG
rnacentral:sRNA from 1 species